AGGGCACCACCAGGAGUGGAGCCUGCGGCUUAAUCUGACUCAACACGGGAAAACUUACCUGGUCCUGACACUAGAAGGAUUGACAGAUUGAUAGCUCUUUCUUGAUUUGGUGGAUGGUGGUGCAUGGCCGUUCUUAGUUGGUGGAGUGAUUUGUCUGGUUAAUUCCGAUAACGAACGAGACUCUAACCUAUUAAAUAACACACAGAAUCUUGUCUUCUGUGGCGUUUCUUAAUGGGAUCAAGUGUGUUUAACGCUUUGAAACAGAGCAAUAACAGGUCUGUGAUGCCCUUAGAUGUUCGGGGCCGCACGCGCGCUACAUUGAGAGACAAAAUGAGUUUUCCAGCCUUUAAUAAGGCUAGUAAUCUUUGAAUGUUUUUCUUAAUGGGGAUAGGGGAUUGCAAUUGUGCCCCUUGAACGAGGAAUUCCCAGUAAGUGCUAGUCAUUAGCUAGUACUGAUUACGUCCCUGCCCUUUGUACACACCGCCCGUCGCUACUACCGAUUGAAUGGUUUAGUGAGAU
rnacentral:rRNA from 1 species